UACGAAGGGGACUAGCGUUGUUCGGAAUCACUGGGCGUAAAGCGCACGUAGGCGGAUUUGUAAGUCAGGGGUGAAAUCCCGGGGCUCAACCUCGGAACUGCCUUUGAUACUGCGAAUCUCGAGUCCGAUAGAGGUGGGUGGAAUUCCUAGUGUAGAGGUGAAAUUCGUAGAUAUUAGGAAGAACACCGGUGGCGAAGGGGGCCCACUGGAUCGGUACUGACGCUGAGGUGCGAAAGCGUGGGGAGCAAACAGG
rnacentral:rRNA from 1 species